AACAAAACACUGAAGAAGUAUUUCAUGCUAUUCUUGAGGAAAAGAUGGAGAAGCAUGAGCUAUGGAUCAUGGUCAGAUAUGAAGAGGAAAUGGAUCUCAUUUUGGACAAGAUAUACAAAAGAGCCACUGCACAGCACCAAAGAAACCAAUCCAGGAAGGACUGAUGCACUUCCAAGCCAAUACAAAGGACUUGAACCUAAUGUGAAGACUCAGGGUUGCAACGCUUAACAUACAUUAAGACGUAGGCCUUCCUUGCAUCCACACUCAUUGUGAAAAUACUUACAGAUGAGUAUCCCAAACUUGGCUCCUUACCUGGCUCCUAUAAUCUAGUCCCUUUUCUCUCUUUCACAGUGUGGCAAACUUUCUGUGGUCCUGGCUACUGAUUGGGUAAAUGCUUACUUGCUUAGAUCAUUUUAAUUGGGCCCUGAUUCAAGGACCUGUUAUAGAUUUACUUUUACUUUACUUGAAAUUUUCAUACAUAAAAAUUUGAUAGUCUAUAUUUUCAUCCAGAAAUUAUCUUUUUUAUUUGG
rnacentral:lncRNA from 1 species